CUUGUGAACUCAAGCCCCAAAGGACUGCAGACUCCCACACAAGGAUGCACCCCUGACCAGCCUCACAGCUCCUGGCCUGGGUGAGCCCCUGCCUAAUGACUCAGUCACUCAGGCCAGCAGUGCCCUGCCGAGUCCCCAUAGCUCUGAGGGCAAUUGUGAGCUCGCAGAGGGUUGGCCCAGAGUUUCUUGCCCAACACUGUCACAUAACCACACUGGCUCUGGGGACAAAAAGGGCUGACUGAACCCAUGCCUGGCCUUGUACGCCCCUGAGAACUGGGACAACUCAUCCAGGGACAGAGGCCAGCUAUCUGAAGACACCACCGGGCACUGCAGCUAAGCUCGGUUCUGCUUGGUGACUGACAAGCGAGACUUAAUUCAACACGCAGUGACAAGACCACUUGGUCACCAUGGGGGGCAAGAGGAGAAGGAGCAGGUGUCAAGUAAGCUUCCCUAAAAAUAGCGAUGAUGCCGGCAUGCGGUGGGGGCGGCAGUGUCCCCGCUCAGCCCUGCUCACAGAGAAGGAGCCGGGAGUCCAUUCCCCACCGGCUUCAAGGAGGGGGUUCUGCACCUGCAGAGCAGCCAGCCCAGCCUACUUCCCCCUCGGUAUCCCAAGAGCCACCCUCACUGACAGGAAAAGUCGUUCCCUGAGGCAGCCUGGAGUCAGCCCCCUCCCGGGAGUCCGAGCGUUGCCCUGCUAUUUUAAACCACACACAUCCCCAACCUUACAAGAUCAGGGGUCUCGGAGUCCGGCUGUCUCUUCCUGAGGGAUGAGAACCUCUGCUGGCUGCGUGCGGAGAAGCGGCGGAAGGACUCUCGGCUCCUCGAAGCCAGAUGUCUGAAGGAGGAGGUGCGCUUGAACGGGGUGCGACCAGCGGACUCCCCGCUCCGCUCGGUGCCCACCGUGGCCGUCACCAAGUGGAGGGCCUCUUGGAAGGACCGCCUCACCGUGCCAACCCACUGAGUCAUAUGUGUCUGGGCCACCGAAAGCUUGUCACCCAGGGAGAACUCCCGUGCACACCUGGGAGCCACCGCCCACCGCUGUCCCGCUCUCCCUCCGGGCUCUUCUCACCUGAACUCAGGCUGGAGGCUCCAAACCCAGAGCCGAACCUGCCGGCCAGCAGGCAGCGCGCUCACUUCCGGAGAGGCAGUCACCCAGCCCGGGUCCCCUGGCCCGGCAGCCCGGAAUGACAUCAGCCCCCUGUCUUGGCGAGGGGCGAGCAGCCCAGGAAUGCAGGAGGGGCCUCUCGGGAGGUGGCCGCCCAGGGAGCUGGCGUCAGCCCCAGUUUUUUGUGUUUUUUUUUUCCCCUAAGUCUCAACUCGCUCGCUCGCUGUCCCUCGGGGACUUCAUGUGCCAGACUGCCUACCCACCCCGGGCAGCACCGUGCAGAGACGCGGCUGCCGGGCGUGCGGGUGAAGAAAUACCAGCUCAGGGAGCUGGAUUCACAUGUCCAAGGUCACACAGCAAGAACGAAAGGUACUCUUGGAAAUGCCCCCUCCCCAAGGCUGUGUGCGGGCCUGACCC